GACGAACGCUGGCGGCGUGCUUAACACAUGCAAGUCGAGCGGUAAGGCCCUUUCGGGGGUACACGAGCGGCGAACGGGUGAGUAACACGUGGGUGACCUGCCCUCAGCUCUGGGAUAAGCCUGGGAAACCGGGUCUAAUACCGGAUAUGACUCCAUGACGCAUGUUGUGGGGUGGAAAGCCCUGUGCGGCUGAGGAUGGGCCCGCGGCCUAUCAGCUUGUUGGUGGGGUGAUGGCCUACCAAGGCGACGACGGGUAGCCGGCCUGAGAGGGCGACCGGCCACACUGGGACUGAGACACGGCCCAGACUCCUACGGGAGGCAGCAGUGGGGAAUCUUGCGCAAUGGGCGAAAGCCUGACGCAGCGACGCCGCGUGAGGGAUGACGGCCUGG
rnacentral:rRNA from 1 species